UACGUAGGGUCCAAGCGUUAUCCGGAAUCACUGGGCGUAAAGCGUGCGCAGGCGGUCUGUUAAGUGAGAUGUUAAAUCGUGUGGCUCAACCAUAUCGAUGCAUCUCAUACUGGCAGACUAGAGGGAGGCAGAGGCAAGUGGAAUUGGUAGUGUAGCAGUGAAAUGCGUAGAUAUUACCAGGAACACCAAUGGCGAAGGCAGCUUGCUGGGCCUUCUCUGACGCUCAGGCACGAAAGCGUGGGGAGCGAACAGG
rnacentral:rRNA from 1 species